rnacentral:rRNA from 1 species
UGCUCCAUAGCCUAUCCUUCCUGGAACGGUGGAUAGGUCAAAGCUCCGGCGGCGUAGGAUAGCUCUGCGGCCUAUCAGGUUGUAGCGAGGGUAACGUCCUCGCUAGCCUACGACGGGUAUGGGUGUUGGGAGACAUCGCCCAGAGAUGGAUUCUGAGACACGAAUCCAGGCCCUACGGGGCGCAGCAGGCGCGAAAACUGCACAAUGUGGGCAACCACGAUGCGGGAAACCCAAGUGCCAGCGCUAUGCGUUGGCUGUCCUCCAGUGUUCGUAACUGGGGAAGAAAGUGCUGGGUAAGACGGGUGCCAGCCGCCGCGGUAAUACCCGCAGCACAAGUGGUGGUCAUUAUUAUUGGGCCUAAAGCGUCCGUAGCUGGCUUGUUAGAUGCCUGGGUAAAUCGAAGCGCUCAACGCUUCGAACUCCGGGUAGACCGGCAAGCUUGGGACCGGGAGAGGCGUGAGCUACUCGAGGGGUAGGGGUAAAAUCCUGUAAUCCUUCGGGGAGGACCAGUGGCGAAGGCGUCACGCUAGAACGGCUCCGACAGUGAGGGACGAAGCCCUGGGGCGCAAACCGGAUUAGAUACCCGGGUAGUCCAGGGUGUAAACGCUGCAGACUUGGUGUCGCUGAUCCUACGAGGGUUGGCGGUGCCGUAGAGAAGUUGUUUAG